CCUGAGGGGAGCGGCGCCAUCCCGCGGAGCCUGGGGACCCCGACGCCCCCCCUCCUCGCGGCCGGGGCGGCAGACUUUCCUGCAUCCUCACUCCUUUACUACCCUGAUCCUCACUGGGACUUAGACUUUCUUCACUGCAGGUGACUCCCUGCAAAAUCUGCAACACUGCUUGUUAUACAGGGACAGUGACUUCCUUUUAGCUCGUCAGCACCCCAGAUGCCAAGGAUGUUGCAUGCAAAAGAGAGUGACUGAUCAAAGUUCCUAAUCAGCUGAGCUGAAGGUUACAAUGCUAAUUAAAAUGUUACUUUUCAAGAAGAAAUAAGAGAAACUGAAGAAACAUAAUAAAACUUUAUUAUCUAUUCUUGUCUUUAAACACCUGUAUUCAAAGAGUAAGUAAUGUUCCCCAUAGCACACAAAUGCUGCUUUUUAAGUAAUUUCAAGCAUUUCAACAAGUAAUCUUUCUGUGCUUGUUUAUGUGAGAUAAAAAUCCUGACAAAUGCCAUGUACUUAGGUGUAAGAUUAUGCUCCUGAAUUUAAU